AACGAACGCUGGCGGCAUGCCUAACACAUGCAAGUCGAACGAUGCUUUCGGGCAUAGUGGCGCACGGGUGCGUAACGCGUGGGAAUCUGCCCUUUGGUUCGGAAUAACAGUUGGAAACGACUGCUAAUUCCGGAUGAUGACGUAAGUCCAAAGAUUUAUCGCCAGAGGAUGAGCCCGCGUGAGAUUAGGUAGUUGGUGGGGUAAAGGCCUACCAAGCCGACGAUCUCUAGCUGGUCUGAGAGGAUGAUCAGCCACACUGGGACUGAGACACGGACCAGACUCCUACGGGAGGCAGCAGUGGGGAAUAUUGGACAAUGGGCGAAAGCCUGAUCCAGCAAUGCCGCGUGAGCGAUGAAGGCCUUAGGGUUGUAAAGCUCUUUUACCCGGGAUGAUAAUGACAGUACCGGGAGAAUAAGCCCCGGCUAACUCCGUGCCAGCAGCCGCAGUAA
rnacentral:rRNA from 1 species